rnacentral:rRNA from 1 species
GAGUUUGAUCGUGGCUCAGAGUGAACGCUGGCGGCAGGCCUAACACAUGCAAGUCGAACGGCAGCACAGCAGUAGCAAUACUGUGGGUGGCGAGUGGCGGACGGGUGAGGAAUACAUGGGAAUCUGCCCUGUCGUGGGGGAUAACGUAGGGAAACUUACGCUAAUACCGCAUACGACCGAGAGGUGAAAGCGGCGGACCGCAAGGCGUCGCGCGAUUGGAUGAGCCCAUGUCGGAUUAGCUAGUUGGCGGGGUAAAGGCCCACCAAGGCGACGAUCCGUAGCUGGUCUGAGAGGAUGAUCAGCCACACUGGAACUGAGACGCGGUCCAGACUCCUACGGGAGGCAGCAGUGGGGAAUAUUGGACAAUGGGCGCAAGCCUGGUCCAGCCAUGCCGCGUGAGUGAAGAAGGCCUUC